AUUGAACGCUAGCGGCAUGCUUUACACAUGCAAGCCGAACGGUAACAGGCCUUCGGGUUCUGACGAGUGGCGAACGGGUGCGUAACACGUCUGCACGCUCCCUUUGUCGGGGGGAAACGCAUUGAAAACUGUGCUAAAACCGCCUUAGUUUUUUGGAUGAAAUCGGGGGAUCUUGCAGCAUUUGUUGGCUACGCGCCUUCGGAGGGGCCGAUGGCAGAUUAGGUAGUUGGUGGGGUAAAGAGCUACCAAGCCGACGAUCUGUAGCUAGUCUGAGAGGACAACCAGCCACACUGGGACUGAGACACGGCCCAGACUCCUACGGGAGGCAGCAGUGGGGAAUGUUGGACAAUGGGCGCAAGCCUGAUCCAGCAAUGCCGCGUGCGGGAAGAAGGCCUUCGGGUUGUAAACCGCUUUUGUACGGAACGAAAAGGCUCUGGCUAAUACCUGGGGCUGAUGACGGUACCGUAAGAAUAAGCACCGGCUAACUACGUG
rnacentral:rRNA from 1 species